UUGUUAUGUUUUCAUCAAUUACACAUUCAUUACACAUUGUCUGGAUAAAGGUAAGACACCUCGACUGGCAAGGGUCAAACGGUUCACAGUGGUUGUUGGAUUAUGAAGCGGCCAUUAGGCCAAUCAUUAAUGAUCCUUCCGCAGGUUCACCUACGGAAA
rnacentral:misc_RNA from 1 species